CAUGUAGGCGGCUUAAUAAGUCGAGCGUGAAAAUGCGGGGCUCAACCCCGUAUGGCGCUGGAAACUGUUAGGCUUGAGUGCAGGAGAGGAAAGGGAAUUCCCAGUGUAGCGGUGAAAUGCGUAGAUAUUGGGAGGAACACCAGUGGCGAAGGCGCCUUUCUGGACUGUGUCUGACGCUGAGAUGCGAAAGCCAGGGUAGCGAACG
rnacentral:rRNA from 1 species